rnacentral:lncRNA from 1 species
UGAUGAUGGGGUGCCAUCCCUGCCCCGGUGCCACCCAUGGGACGCGGUCCCCUCCCUGUGUGUCACCGGAGCCCCGGCCUGGUGGCACUUGGGGACGGCAGUGUCCCCAUGGGGGUGUUCUCCCAGGGCUCCCCAGUGCGGCUGUACCCCGGAAUGGGGCCACCGGGACGCGCUGUGGGGCGGGCGAUGGGGAGAGCCCCCAAGUUUUGGGGCUAUGGGAUGGGUUGGGGUCAACCCACAGCUUCCGCGGGGUGGGGGGUUGGUGGACACUGCCAUCCAUUGGGUCCCCCAACCCUACAGACCCCCAUGCAUGGACACUGCCAUCCAUUGGGGUCCCCUGAUCCUACAGACCCCCAUGCAUGGACGCUGCCAUCCCAUUGGGGUCCCCCGAUCCUACAGACCCCAAUGCAUG